rnacentral:rRNA from 1 species
AAUAUUGGACAAUGGGGGCAACCCUGAUCCAGCCAUGCCGCGUGUUUGAAGAAGGUCUUCGGAUUGUAAAGCACUUUAAGUUGGGAGGAAGGACUUUAGGCUAAUACACUGAAGUUUUGACGUUACAAACAGAAUAAGCAACUGCUAACUUUUUGCAGUCAGCCGCGGUAAUACAGAGGGUGCAAGCGUUAAUCGGAAUUACUGGGCGUAAAGCGCGCGUAGGUGGUUCAGUAAGAUUGGUGUGAAAUCCCCGGGCUUAACCUGGGAACUGCUUUCAUAACUGCUGAGCUAGAGUACGGUAGAGGGUAGUGGAAUUUCCUGUGUAGCGGUGAAAUGCGUAGAUAUAGGAAGGAACACCAGUGGCGAAGGCGACUACCUGGACUGAUACUGACACUGAGGUGCGAAAGCGUGGGGAGCAAACA